UAGCUUCACGCACAGCACCACCCACCUACACACACACACACACACACAUAGUGUAAAGUGUAAAGGAACAUUCUGAAAAAUGACAUAAAGACAUGAGAGACAAACCAAUGAUCAUACAGGAGGCAGAGACACGACCAGACAUGUCAGGAUGUGAGUACCGGUCACUAACAUGCUGGACUUAAUGCAUGACAUCAGAAGGCAGGCAAACCAGUAAACACAGUCUGAAGCAUGGGCUGAAAAACCAUAACAAACCACUGCCAUGGAAACCCCGAGCUCAGCGCUAGCAGCCAAGUGCAAAGGAAACGAGACAUCAUCAUAAGACAAGGAAACGUGAGGGACAUGAAACAGACUUAUUAAUUAGGAACUAAACAAGUAACAAGUGGGUCCAACAGGAAUGAACCACAUAUGACAUCAUAAGGGGUGGAGACAUGAUCAGGAAGUAAAAAUAAUGUCACAAUAAGAGCACAGGUAAUGCAGCCGGUCUGCGUGCAGGUUUUCACUCCAAACAAGCAGAAGCUACACCGGAGUCUUAAAGCCAGGAUCAGCUGCUUAAACAGAUGGACUCAGGUAUGGCUUCUGCUGACCUGCUGAGUGGAUAAGACUGGACAUACCAUGCUCUGAGGGGAUCUGUCACUAAAUGAACAUGAGACACGAGAUCAUCAGAAGCACCACAUCCCUCACCUGGAGCAGACACCGCUGUGUAUUUACACGACCAUCGUUUAUUAUAAUGAUUAGCAGCAGAACUUCCAACAUCUCAGAGCUGCUUUGAGAUCCUUGAGACUCACAGAACAUCUAAAGAAGUUUGCACAUUGAUGGGAAGUGCAGCAGAGGCAGUUCCUGGCCUAUAUGUGGAACCGGUCCAGUGGACGGAGCAGAACCACUGGGUCCAGCGUGGUCUUCUCCAGAAUGUCCACCAGUUUCUCCAGCUUGGUGUUGGCAGUGAAGAUGAAAUCGUCGUCGACCCACAGCACGUACUUAGUGGUGACUUGAGACACGGCCAAAUUACGACCUGCAAACCAACCCU